CACAGAUCACCUUCCCACCAUAGCCGAGGGGAUGACCGAGAAUGAUGAUCUUCCUCCUCCAGAAGAGACUCCACCCCAGGCUACUUCUCACCUAAAAGCUCCCAUUGGGAAAAAGAUCUUGAGCAGAAGGUUCAGGACAUUAAGUAUCAUCUCAGUGAAGUUCGAAAUGAGAGUCGUGUUAGAUGUAUGCCCUAGAAGCCAAUCUUGACUGAUG
rnacentral:lncRNA from 1 species